GCACGCGUAGCCCAACCGGCAGAGGCGCUUGUCUUAGAAACAAGUUGAUGAAGGUUCGACUCCUUCCGCGUGUA
rnacentral:tRNA from 1 species